rnacentral:rRNA from 1 species
GACGAACGCUGGCGGCGUGCUUAACACAUGCAAGUCGAACGAAGAGCGAUGGAAGCUUGCUUCUAUCAAUCUUAGUGGCGAACGGGUGAGUAACGCGUAAUCAACCUGCCCUUCAGAGGGGGACAACAGUUGGAAACGACUGCUAAUACCGCAUACGAUCUAAACUCGGCAUCGAGGAUAGAUGAAAGGUGGCCUCUACAUGUAAGCUAUCACUGAAGGAGGGGAUUGCGUCUGAUUAGCUAGUUGGAGGGGUAACGGCCCACCAAGGCGAUGAUCAGUAGCCGGUCUGAGAGGAUGAACGGCCACAUUGGGACUGAGACACGGCCCAGACUCCUACGGGAGGCAGCAGUGGGGAAUCUUCCGCAAUGGACGAAAGUCUGACGGAGCAACGCCGCGUGAGUGAUGACGGCCUUCGGGUUGUAAAGCUCUGUUAAUCGGGACGAAAGGCCUUCUUGCGAAUAGUGAGAAGGAUUGACGGUACCGGAAUAGAAAGCCACGGCUAACUACGUG